rnacentral:sRNA from 1 species
AAGUUUAUGUCUUAAGCCUCCUCUGU